GUCUCGACUGGUCCAUUCCCGGCCCACCCCCAUUAACCGGCUCGAGCCACUCCCAGGACGAAGUCAAGGCCUCGGAAGGCGACUACAACUCCCAGCAGGUCGAGCAGCUCCGCCCGCGCUGAUUCUCCAUUGGCCUUCCGGGGGUGGGGAUUAGAUGGGAGGUGGCCGUGGGGCUGCGGCCGGGAUUUGUCCCCUCUUCGGCUUCCGUAGAGGAAGUGGCGCGGACCUUCAUUUGGGGUUUCGGUUCCCCCCCUUCCCCUUCCCCGGGGUCUGGGGGUGACAUUGCACCGCGCCCCUCGUGGGGUCGCGUUGCCACCCCACGCGGACUCCCCAGCUGGCGCGCCCCUCCCAUUUGCCUGUCCUGGUCAGGCCCCCACCCCCCUUCCCACCUGACCAGCCAUGGGGGCUGCGGUGUUUUUCGGCUGCACUUUCGUCGCGUUCGGCCCGGCCUUCGCGCUUUUCUUGAUCACUGUGGCUGGGGACCCGCUUCGCGUUAUCAUCCUGGUCGCAGGGGCAUUUUUCUGGCUGGUCUCCCUGCUCCUGGCCUCUGUGGUCUGGUUCAUCUUGGUCCAUGUGACCGACCGGUCAGAUGCCCGGCUCCAGUACGGCCUCCUGAUUUUUGGUGCUGCUGUCUCUGUCCUUCUACAGGAGGUGUUCCGCUUUGCCUACUACAAGCUGCUUAAUUUCUGGUCUCUCCUUCGGUAUCAUCAGUGGUGUCUUCUCUGUUAUCAAUAUUUUGGCUGAUGCACUUGGGCCAGGUGUGGUUGGGAUCCAUGGAGACUCACCCUAUUACUUCCUGACUUCAGCCUUUCUGACAGCAGCCAUUAUCCUGCUCCAUACCUUUUGGGGAGUUGUGUUCUUUGAUGCCUGUGAGAGGAGACGGUACUGGGCUUUGGGCCUGGUGGUUGGGAGUCACCUACUGACAUCGGGACUGACAUUCCUGAACCCCUGGUAUGAGGCCAGCCUGCUGCCCAUCUAUGCAGUCACUGUUUCCAUGGGGCUCUGGGCCUUCAUCACAGCUGGAGGGUCCCUCCGAAGUAUUCAGCGCAGCCUCUUGUGUAAGGACUGACUACCUGGACUGAUCGCCUGACAGAUCCCACCUGCCUGUCCACUGCCCAUGACUGAGCCCAGCCCCAGCCCGGGUCCAUUGCCCACAUUCUCUGUCUCCUUCUCGUCGGUCUACCCCACUACCUCCAGGGUUUUGCUUUGUCCUUUUGUGACCGUUAGUCUCUAAGCUUUACCAGGAGCAGCCUGGGUUCAGCCAGUCAGUGACUGGUGGGUUUGAAUCUGCACUUAUCCCCACCACCUGGGGACCCCCUUGUUGUGUCCAGGACUCCCCCUGUGUCAGUGCUCUGCUCUCACCCUGCCCAAGACUCACCUCCCUUCCCCUCUGCAGGCCGACGGCAGGAGGACAGUCGGGUGAUGGUGUAUUCUGCCCUGCGCAUCCCACCCGAGGACUGAGGGAACCUAGGGGGGACCCCUGGGCCUGGGGUGCCCUCCUGAUGUCCUCGCCCUGUAUUUCUCCAUCUCCAGUUCUGGACAGUGCAGGUUGCCAAGAAAAGGGACCUAGUUUAGCCAUUGCCCUGGAGAUGAAAUUAAUGGAGGCUCAAGGAUAGAUGAGCUCUGAGUUUCUCAGUACUCCCUCAAGACUGGACAUCUUGGUCUUUUUCUCAGGCCUGAGGGGGAACCAUUUUUGGUGUGAUAAAUACCCUAAACUGCCUUUUUUUCUUUUUUGAGGUGGGGGGAGGGAGGAGGUAUAUUGGAACUCUUCUAACCUCCUUGGGCUAUAUUUUCUCUCCUCGAGUUGCUCCUCAUGGCUGGGCUCAUUUCGGUCCCUUUCUCCUUGGUCCCAGACCUUGGGGGAAAGGAAGGAAGUGCAUGUUUGGGAACUGGCAUUACUGGAACUAAUGGUUUUAACCUCCUUAACCACCAGCAUCCCUCCUCUCCCCAAGGUGAAGUGGAGGGUGCUGUGGUGAGCUGGCCACUCCAGAGCUGCAGUGCCACUGGAGGAGUCAGACUACCAUGACAUCGUAGGGAAGGAGGGGAGAUUUUUUUGUAGUUUUUAAUUGGGGUGUGGGAGGGGCGGGGAGGUUUUCUAUAAACUGUAUCAUUUUCUGCUGAGGGUGGAGUGUCCCAUCCUUUUAAUCAAGGUGAUUGUGAUUUUGACUAAUAAAAAAGAAUUUGUAAUUGUG
rnacentral:lncRNA from 1 species